AUGGGCUUGGAGCGAGGCGAGAAGCCGCACGCCGUGUGCCUGCCGGCACCGGCGCAAGGGCACAUCACGCUGAUGCUGGAGAUGGCCAAGCUGCUCCACGCCCGGGGCUUCCACAUCACCUUCGUCAACACCGAGUUCAACCAUCGCCGGCUGCUCCACUCCCGCGGGACGGCGGCACUCGACGGCCUCCCGAGCUUCCGCUUCGCCGCGAUACCAGACGGACUCCCCGCGUCAGACGCCGACGCGACCCAGGACGUCCCAGCCCUGUGCUACGCCAUGAUGACCACCUUUCUCCCCCGCCUACGGGCCCUUCUUGCCAAGCUCAACGACCCGAGCUCCGGGGUGUCGCCGAUCACCUGCCUCGUCGUCGACGGUGUCGCAUCGUUCAGCUACGAUGCCGCGAAGGAGCUCGGCGUGCCUUGCGCCGCGUUGUGGACGUCCAGUGCCUGCGGGUUCAUGGGUUACCGCCACUUCCGUCGGCUUAUCGACCGUGGUCUUGUGCCUUUCAAAGACGAGGAGCAGCUGACGGACAAUGGGUAUCUCGAUACGCCGGUCGACGGCAUGAGCGGCAUGUGCGAUGGCAUACGGCUGCGCGACUUCCCGACGAUGAUCCGCACCACCGACCGCGACGACACCAUGCUCAACUACGUCAUGCGCGAGGCCAAGAGGCUGUCGCUCCCCGACGCCGUGCUGCUCAACACCUUCGACGCACUGGAGCAGCCGGUUCUCAACGCCAUGCGCGCCAUCCUCCCGCCCAUGUACACCGUCGGUCCGCUGCAUCUCCACUCCAGCAGCGGCGUCCCCACCGGCACCCCGCUCGACGGCCUCGGCUCCAACCUCUGGAAGGAGCAGGACGGCCUCCUCGAGUGGCUCGACGGGCACGGCGCCGGAGCCGUCGUGUACGUCAACUACGGAAGCGUCGCUGUGAUGACGAACGAGCAGCUCCUAGAGUUCGGGUGGGGGCUGGCCGACAGCGGCUACGCGUUCAUAUGGAACAUCCGGCCGGACCUCGUUAGGGGAGAGACGGCCGUGAUGCCGCCGGAGUUCCUGGCAUCGGUUCACGGCCGCGCCAUGCUCACGACGUGGUGCCCGCAGGCGGAGGUCCUCAGGCACGAGGCGGUGGGGGCGUUCCUGACGCACUCCGGAAUCCGGAUGGAACUCCACGCUCGAUGA
rnacentral:rRNA from 1 species